UAGGGAAUUUUCCACAAUGGACGAAAGUCUGAUGGAGCAACGCCGCGUGCAGGAUGAAGGCCUUCGGGUCGUAAACUGCUUUUAUGGGUGAAGAAUAAGACAGUAGCCCAAGAAUAAGGGACGGCUAACUACGUGCCAGCAGCCGCGGUCAUACGUAGGUCCCAAGCGUUAUCCGGAUUUAUUGGGUUUAAAGGGUGCGUAGGUGGCCCUGUAAGUCAGUGGUGAAAUAUCUCAGCUUAACUGAGAGGGUGCCAUUGAUACUGCAGGGCUUGAGUACAGAUGAGGUAGGCGGAAUUGACGGUGUAGCGGUGAAAUGCAUAGAUAUCGUCAAGAACACCGAUAGCGAAGGCAGCUUACCAAGCUGUAACUGACACUGAGGCACGAAAGUGUGGGGGAUCAAACAGGAUUAGAUACCCUAGUAGUCCCUGAGCGGGCUGGCAAGGCGCAU
rnacentral:rRNA from 1 species